UACGUAGGGUGCAAGCGUUGUCCGGAAUUAUUGGGCGUAAAGAGCUCGUAGGCGGCUCGUUGCGUCGGCUGUGAAAACCCGCAGCUCAACUGUGGGCUUGCAGCCGAUACGGGCGGGCUGGGAUUCGGUAGGGGAGACUGGAAUUCCUGGUGUAGCGGUGAAAUGCGCAGAUAUCAGGAGGAACACCGGUGGCGAAGGCGGGUCUCUGGGCCGAUAUCGACGCUGAGGAGCGAAAGCUAGGGGAGCAAACGGG
rnacentral:rRNA from 1 species